rnacentral:tmRNA from 1 species
GGGGUCGAUCGGUUUUGACAGCGAGUGGAAUUAGUUAGUAAGCACGUCGAGCGUUGUUAGAUUGCUCGUAAAUAUCAUCUAACGAACUUUUUAAACGGCGAAAAUAAUUACGCUUUAGCUGCUUAAUCUGAAUUAUAGUAAGAUUGCCUUUAGUUUCCACCAGGUGGAAGAGCUGAAUUCUCCUAAAGAGCCUUGGUUUAUGGCGCUUUGUUAAGGGGAACCGUAAAGUAAACCUAAAAGUGUUAUUGUCUCGCUGACACUUUGAAAUCUUAGAGGCUAAGCUUUUGGUGGCUGUUUUUUGCCAAGCCAACGGUCGAAAAUUCAAUAAAAAACUAAGCGUGUAGAAAGCUCUCUGAUUGCUUGUUUGGACCCGAGUUCGAUUCUCGGCGACUCCACAG